GCAGUCUUGUCUCCACAGCAUCCAUUCAGGGAGUUCUUGCUUUCAAAUUCACCUUCCAUUAUGGAGCUUCUGAUUGCCUAAACAUGAUAAAAAGUCUGACUGAAGCAGACAUCCUGAGAGAAGGUGCCAACCUUCAGGAGUACCCCACGGCAUCCAUCUACACCUACGGGCACCCUGCUGCGCCGCAGACGCCCCGUUCCUUCAACACGCUGCCGCUGUGGCCCCCGCCAUACCCUGGUCCGCCAGACCUCCCGCCCCCCUAUUCGGAAGUGGAGGACUUGGCUCCGAGAGGAGACAGGGGCUCAGGCAAGUGCAGGGGGCCCUCGUGAGCUCUGGUGCCCCGGGCAGCCGCCUGUCCCUAGCGCUUGAAUAAGACGCCCCGGUGCCAACCAGACCUGAGGUGGGUUCCGCGGGCAGUCGCCACCUAGCAGCAUU
rnacentral:lncRNA from 1 species